AGAUGCGAUCAUAUCAGUACUAAUACAUCAGAUCCAAUCAGAACUUCGCAGUUAAGUGUGCUUGGGCGAGAGUAGUACUAGGAUAGGUGACCUCCCGAGAAGUCCUCGUGUUGCAUCCC
rfam:Arabidopsis thaliana chromosome 1, complete sequence.